rnacentral:misc_RNA from 1 species
GAUGAAGAACGCAGCGAAAUGGGAUAAGUAAUGUGAAUUGCAGAAUUCAGUGAAUCAUCGAAUCUUUGAACGCACAUUGCGCCCGCCAGUAUUCUGGCGGGCAUGCCUGUUCGAGCGUCAUUUCAACCAUCAAGCCCCCGGCUUGUGUUGGGGACCUGCGGCUGCCGCAGGCCCUGAAAAGCAGUGGCGGGCUCGCUGUCACACCGAGCGUAGUAGCAUACAUCUCGCUCUGGGCGUGCUGCGGGUUCCGGCCGUUAAACCACCUUCAUAACCCAAGGUUGACCUCGGAUCAGGUAGGAAGACCCGCUGAACUUAAGCAUAUCAAUAAGCGGAGGA